AGUGAACGCUGGCGGCAGGCCUAACACAUGCAAGUCGAGCGGCAGCGCGGGGGCAACCCUGGCGGCGAGCGGCGGACGGGUGAGGAAUUCGUCGGAAUCUGCCUUUUUGUGGGGGAUAACGUAGGGAAACUUACGCUAAUACCGCAUACGUCCUACGGGAGAAAGUGGGGGACCGCAAGGCCUCACGCAGAAAGAUGAGCCGACGACCGAUUAGCUAGUUGGUGGGGUAAAGGCCCACCAAGGCGACGAUCGGUAGCUGGUCUGAGAGGAUGAUCAGCCACACUGGGACUGAGACACGGCCCAGACUCCUACGGGAGGCAGCAGUGGGGAAUAUUGGACAAUGGGCGCAGGCCUGAUCCAGCCAUGCCGCGUGUGUGAAGAAGGCCUUCGGGUUGUAAAGCACUUUUGUCCGGAAAGAAAUCCCUGGAGCUAAUACCUUCGGGGGAUGACGGUACCGGAAGAAUAAGCACCGGCUAACUUCGUG
rnacentral:rRNA from 1 species